ACAAGUCAAGAUAAAUAGAAGCAAAAUAUCCAUGUUUUUACAUAAUAAGAGUAUAGAUGUAAAUCAAACAUACAGAGUACAUGCUUUCUACCAGGACUGAUAGUUAUCCAGGGAGUUCCAUUUGGCAAGAAGUUAUCAACACCUGUGGACAGGUGAACACUGUGGACAGGUGUUCACUGUGGACAGGUGUUCACUGUGGACAGGUGAACACUGUGGACAGGUGUUCACUGUGGACAGGUGUUCACUGUGGACAGGUGAACACUGUGGACAGGUGUUCACUGUGGACAGGUGAACACUGUGGACAGGUGAACACUGUGGACAGGUGAACACUGUGGACAGGUGUUCACUGUGGACAGGUGAACACUGUGGACAGGUGUUCACUGUGGACAGGUGAACACUGUGGACAGGUGUUCACUGUGGACAGGUGUUCACUGUGGACAGGUGAACACUGUGGACAGGUGAACACCUACAGAGGACGGAGUUCUACUCUUAAAGUAUCCGAGUACUUCUUCCACCACCGGCUAUCAACUUAAGAACAGGUGUUUCAGGAAUUUGGGUUCUCCAGAUAUUCUGGAGGUUUGGUUCCUCUUUAAAGAGAGUUCAUCUUCACAAUCCAGGGUUUCCUACGGUGGCUGAGACAAACAAAAAGCAAAGCUCUUAGAGAUACAGACGUCGCCUGUAUUGAUCAAUCAUCUCAGAAUCUUAUUGAUCACGCUGAUAGAACAAACCUCCACUUCAGAGCCGUUUGUAGUUUUCUGAUUGUUAAAAAUAUGAAAAGGUGGUAAAAUAGAAAAUGCAGAAAACAGCACCUCCUGAUUAUGUGUGUGUUUUAUGUGUGUUACUACGGUGUACUAGUAUAAAAUAUGUCACUCUGAGUGUUUCUCGUCGGUUAGUUUCCCUCUCUUCAUGAAUUAAGAUCCAGAACUUUGUGACCAUCCUCCUCCUCUGAACUCUACUGUGAAGUGUUUGGUCUGUCCAGGCCACCGUAGAUUUGGGAGUUUUUUCAGGGCCAGCAGGGGUUUGACACGAUUUCUAUCCAGAGACGUCUGCGUCCUUUAUAAAUAGAUUUGGAAGCCCCUGUACAAAGAGAGGUAGAGCGUGUGGUUUCAGAUCAGGUCAAAGGACUAAUUUGGUAUUUUUGGGGGUCUGAACACCGACUGUGUCUCUGUGGUGAAGAUGUCAGUCAUAAUCUUUAAACUAAAUAUGUACAGUGCAAACAGGAGAUCAUCAUCAUCAUCAUCACUGCUGAUAAAAGUGUAAACAACACUGUUUUACUAGAAGCUCACGAACACAACACGUCACUGAACUACACACUGGAUCUAUCUACUCAAACAGCUGCAGAACAAAGUCAACAGAAAAGAGUAGAAAGGAUAAAAAAAACUCAAAGCAGAUCGUCUCUUCAAACUGAAACAGAAGCUUCGUGUUUCUCAGAGUUCGUCUGAAGCCGAAAACUAAAAGGGAUGCAGAAGAAGAAGAAGAAGCAGCAGAGAAACCCAAGAGAGAAGAAGAAAUUAUCUCUGUCCUUGUCUUCCACACCCUGUGUUCAAUAAAGUUUAAUGAAAUACAAUCAAUUGGCUCCGUCCUGAGCGUCCGAGGAAA